CAUGCCAGGCGAGCGCGCUACCCCUUGAGCCACAUCCCCAGCCCCUAAAAAAUAAAUAUUAAAAAAAAAUAUAUUUGAGUUGUCAAAUUCAAGACCACAAACGGAUUAUCUUAUGUUUUCUUUCAGAAGUUUUGGAUUUUUGGUUCUUGUAUUUGUGACCCAUUUUGAGUUGAUUUUACACAUGGAGGGUUGAAUUUUGUACUGUUUUUGCCCAGUUAAGGGACUAUUACGGAGGGCGUGGCUUUCCCCGUCGUACUACGUACCCCAGCAUACACUGCGCGGGCCAACACGCCGGAGAGGGGAAAUCCGGGCAGGCCUGGGGGUGUGGCUGCGUGGAAAGGCUGAGUUACAGACUAGUUCUGAGAACGCUUGCUGCCACCGUUUGUGAAGGCGGUGGGCCCCGCGAGGGCUAGCAGGUGGAAGGGCCUGCCACGCGACUUCCCAGCUCAGACAUGCCACACCGCUUCUGACUGUUCUGUUCGGUCGGGACACUUUUCUUACCCAAGUUUCCCGCGGAAACAACUCUUGAAGAGGACCAAUCACGGCAGAGAGUUUUGCUGGGCGGGCCAACCAGAGGCGAGGGUGGGAGCCGCGGGACGCGUGAUCUCCGGAUUUGUGCUGGAAAGGGUGGACAGCCUUUGUAAGGAUCUCGAAGGGACCCCGAAAGGGUGCGGAAGUGAGCAAGCCUCUCUCGACUAUGGUGGGGGCUACGGCGGGGUUACCCUCACCCAUCAGAAACCCUCCGCAGGUGUAGGGGUUCACCCUCCUCGACCAUGGCCCACCAGUCUUUCCUGGGCUCCCCAGAAGCUCGCGCCAGCUGCCUGGACCUGUGGAAGGAAAAGAACGACCGGCUCGUUCGACAGGCCAAGGUGGCUCAGGACUCUGGUGUGUCUCUGAGGCGCCACAAGUUGGUUCAAGACACACUGGAGGGACUCAGGGAGCUCCUACACAUUCUGCAUGGACUUCCUGCAGCUGUCCCUGUUCUCCCCUUGGAGCUGACUGUCACCUGUAACUUCAUUAUCCUGAAAGUGAGCCUAGCCCAGGGUUUCACUGAAGACCAGGCCCAGGAUAUACAACGAGGCCUAGAAAGAGUGCUAGAGACCCAGGAGCAGUUGGGGCCCAGGCCAGAACAAGGGAUCAGGAAGUUGUGGGAGUCUGUCCUCUGUGCUUCCUCCCUUCUGCCCAAGCUACUGUGUGCCCUGCACCACCUGGCUGGCCUGCAGGCUGCCCUUUGGCUGAGCAUUGACCGUCUUGAAGACCUGGCCUUGCUGUUGCAGACUCUGAAUGGCAACCAGAAUGGGGCCUCUAAGGAUCUGCUGCUACUUCUAAAAACUUGGAACCCUCCAGCUGAGGAAUCAGAUGCCCCAUUGACCCUGCAGAAUGCCCAGGGUUUGAGGGAUAUCCUUUUGACAGCAUUUGCCUACCGUCAAGGCCUCCAGGAGCUGAUUUCAGGGAGCCUACCAAGGGCAUUGAGCAGCCUGCAUGAAGCAGCCUCAGGUCUGUGUCCACGACCUCUCUUGGUACAGGUGUAUACAGCAUUAGGAUCCUGUCUUCGUAAGAUGGGAAAUCCACAGAGAGCUUUGCUGUACUUGAUUGCAGCCCUGAAAGGGGGAUCACCCUGGGGUCUUCCACUUCUAGAGGCUUCCAGAUUAUAUCGGCAAUUGGGGGAUACAGCUGCAGAGCUGGAGAGUCUGGAGCUGCUGGUUGAGGCCUUGAGUACCACCCAUAGCUCUGAAGUUCCACAGCCUCUCAUUGAGGUAGAAUUGCUACUCCCACGACCUGACCCAGCCUCUCCCCUUUACUGUGGCACACAGAGCCAAGCCAAGCACCUGUUAGCAAGCAGAUGCCUACAGAUGGGGAGGGCAGAAGAUGCUGCAGAGCAUUACUUGGACCUGCUGGCCCUGUUGCUGGAUGGCUCAGAUCCACGGUUCUGCCCACCAACCAGCCCCCCAGGACCUUGCAUGCCUGAGGUGUUCUUGGAGGCGGCAGCAGCACUGAUACAGGCAGGCCGAGCCCAAGAUGCUUUGACUGUAUGUGAGGAGCUGCUUACCCGCACAUCUUCUCUGCUUCCCAAGAUGCUCCAGCCAUGGGAAGAUGCAAGAAAAGGAACCAAGGAACUGCCAUCCUGCCCACUCUGGGUCUCUGCUGUUUACCUGCUUCAGGGCCGGGCCUGGGUACAACUGAGGGCCCCAAAAGAGGCAAUUAGUGAAUUUAGCCGGUGCCUUGAGUUGCUCUUCCGGGCCAUACCUGAGGACAAAGAACAAGGGGCAGCUUCCAACUGUGAGCAGGGGUGUAGGUCAGAUAUGGCACUGAAACAUCUUCGGGCAGCUGCCCUGAUCAGUCGUGGACUGGAAUGGGCAGCCAAUGGUCAAGAUACCAAAGCCCUACAGGACUUCCUCCUCAGUGUGCAGGUUUGCCCAGACUCUAAGGAGGCUGGAUAGGAAGGAUGAGGCCGCUGCUUUCUGUUGGAGGCUGCAGGCCCAAACUCAACUGCCACAGAAGGAAUCUACCUGGUCUCUCCCCCUGUACUUAGAAAUCUAUUUGAGCUGGAUCCAUUCCCCUGACUGUGAAACCUUCCUUGAAGAGUUUCAGACAUCUCUGCAGGAGCCUCAUGACCUGUAGCUGCUAUGUUUCCAAGAGCCUGAGCUGAGGGCCCAGUGAAUCAUCUCUGUGAGGAGGGCCUCCCCACCUCCCCUUGCUUUACCCUCCUUGGGUGAUGUGACUGGAGCUGAUCAUUCCUAUGUAACUCUUGUACUGGUGAAGUUGGUGGCAGUCCUGUGUGGUUUGGGAUACUCCUUCCUUCUGGAGGAAGUAUUCCCUGCUACCAACAAGUCAUUGACUUUGCUUGUAGCAUCUGUUUUUCCUGUUUCCCCUUUUCCUGUGUUGAAUAAAAAUGCAUAUAUAUAUAUAUAUAUAUAUAUAU